UACAGAGGGUGCUAGCGUUGUUCGGAAUCAUUGGGCGUAAAGGGCGUGUAGGCGGUUUUGUUAAGUCAUGUGUGAAAUCCCUCGGCUCAACCGGGGGAACGACGCAUGAAACUGGCAGCUAGAGUACCAAAAGAGGGGGGGUGGACUUCCCGGUGUAGCGGUGAAAUGCGUAGAUAUCGGGGAGGAACACCUGUGGCGAAGGCGGCCCCCCUGGUUGGAUACUGACGCUGAUACGCGAAAGCGUGGGGGAGCAAACAGGG
rnacentral:rRNA from 1 species